rnacentral:piRNA from 1 species
UAGUUUCUCCAUCGAUGUGAC